UGUAUGGUUAAGUGACUAAGCGUACACGGUGGAUGCCUGGGCAGUCAGAGGCGAUGAAGGACGUACUAACUUGCGAUAAGCGCAGAUAAGGCAGUAAGAGCCGUUUGAGUCUGCGAUUUCCGAAUGGGGAAACCCAACUGCAUAAGCAGUUACUGUUAACUGAAUACAUAGGUUAACAGAGCAAACCGGGGGAACUGAAACAUCUAAGUACCCCGAGGAGAAGAAAUCAACCGAGAUUCCGGUAGUAGCGGCGAGCGAACCUGGAUUAGCCCUUAAGCACUCGUUGAAGUAGGUGAACAAGCUGGAAAGCUUGGCGAUACAGGGUGAUAGCCCCGUAACCGACGCUUCAUCGAGCGUGAAAUCGAGUAGGGCGGGACACGUGAUAUCCUGUCUGAAUAUGGGGGGACCAUCCUCCAAGGCUAAAUACUCCUGACUGACCGAUAGUGAACCAGUACCGUGAGGGAAAGGCGAAAAGAACCCCUGUGAGGGGAGUGAAAUAGAACCUGAAACCGUGUACGUACAAGCAGUAGGAGCACCUUCGUGGUGUGACUGCGUACCUUUUGUAUAAUGGGUCAGCGACUUAUAUUCAGUGGCAAGGUUAACCGUAUAGGGGAGCCGUAGCGAAAGCGAGUCUUAACUGGGCGCUCAGUCUCUGGAUAUAGACCCGAAACCGGGUGAUCUAGCCAUGGGCAGGUUGAAGGUUGAGUAACAUCAACUGGAGGACCGAACCGACUAAUGUUGAAAAAUUAGCGGAUGACUUGUGGCUAGGGGUGAAAGGCCAAUCAAACUCGGAGAUAGCUGGUUCUCCCCGAAAGCUAUUUAGGUAGCGCCUCGGACGAAUACUACUGGGGGUAGAGCACUGUUAAGGCUAGGGGGUCAUCCCGACUUACCAACCCUUUGCAAACUCCGAAUACCAGUAAGUACUAUCCGGGAGACACACGGCGGGUGCUAACGUCCGUCGUGGAGAGGGAAACAACCCAGACCGCCAGCUAAGGUCCCAAAGUAUUGCUAAGUGGGAAACGAUGUGGGAAGGCUCAGACAGCUAGGAUGUUGGCUUAGAAGCAGCCAUCAUUUAAAGAAAGCGUAAUAGCUCACUAGUCGAGUCGGCCUGCGCGGAAGAUGUAACGGGGCUAAGCAAUACACCGAAGCUGCGGCAAUAUCUUUUAGAUAUUGGGUAGGGGAGCGUUCUGUAAGCCGUUGAAGGUGAAUCGUAAGGUUUGCUGGAGGUAUCAGAAGUGCGAA
rnacentral:rRNA from 1 species